GUAAAAUAAAAUCACCAUUUGGGGAUGUGCUUUUUUCUCUCACUAGUGUAAGCUCACCAGAACCUGCAAACCAGAGGAAGACGCAGAAGCAAAACCUGCAUCAUUCAGCCUGUUCCCCCAUUUUACAGGGGGAAAAAAAACUGAGUCCAAGGGGAGAGGUGGGAGACUGAAGUUGCACAAGUUAGUGGCAGAGCCAGGCCCACAACUCAUAUCUGAGACACGCAUUACCCUCUCCACCCCCAACCAUUUGCAGGAAGGGGCUGAAUUACACCUGGGUCCCCAGCUCCAAGCUGGCUGAAGAGGAAGGCUUCCAGGCUGAGGCCAGGCAAAUAGGGCAGCUCCUGGAGACCAGCCAGCUAGGAGUUAGGAAAGCUAGAACUCCAAGGGUUUGUGGUUUGUGGUUUGUGGCAGUUUCCCUCAUAAUAGGUUAAGUUGGAACCUCUAGUUGGGUCUUAGAGAAAAAUAAAGGGAACAACAUUGUGGUUUCAGGAUGACAUUCUAGGAACCCUAAGGGGCAAAACACAAAGGAGUCCUAAGGACUGGGAUGGAAAGUGAAACUUCCCAGCUCUUCCUUUGACCUUGGCCAAGGUCGUUCUCUCUGGCCUCAUUUGUCCUGUUCCUUCAGUGGGGGGAGAAUCUCGUUUAAGGCCCAGGGAAUAGAAGAAAGGAGGCAGGUAGACGGGUGGCUCUCAGCCUGGUGUCGGUGCCCAGGCGGUCGGAGUCCCAGGCAGGCGGGAUCAGCAGGAGAGGGGGGCGCGGAAAGUCGCCACCGGUGCUGCAUCGAGCAGGAGAAGGGCCGCAACUCAGCGCUGCAGUGGGUAGGAGUGACGGGAUGGAGGAGGGAUCCUCUGCCUGGGUUUGUCGCCUCCGGCCAAGGGUCAAGGCGCCCCCUCCUCUUCUCAGACGCGGGCGGCCUCGCCCCUCCCUCUCACAUUCCCAACUCCCAAAGACAACUUGUCGCUCCCUUCAGAAGCCCGGGGCUUCUCUCUGUCCCGCAGACUCUGCUUUCUUCCACUUCUUUUGUCUGUUUCUGCAUUUGACGGCUUCUCUGGGAAGCAAUCCUCAGAUCCUCUACCCUGUGGUCUGUUAUCCGCUUCCCCACCCCACCUCGACCCCGCGCGCCUUCUCUCUCUCUUUCUCACACACCCACACACACCCACACACUCACACACACCCACACACACCCUCUCUUUUCUCUGCUGGCCAUCUCGGCGCCUUUCCUCUGCAGCUCUGGCCUUCUAAAACCUCACCAGGCCCAUUCUGGGAACCGACACGAGGCGAUCCGACGGCGCCCCACGGAGGGGGCAGGUGAGACUGGCAGGAGCCCCGCCCGGGCGGACGCCGAGGAAGGUGGCGCCCGCGCCCAUCCGCCGCCCGGGCCCAGUCCUCGCCCCAAGCUCGCUGGCGCCAGGGGGACGAGGACGCACGAAUCCCUUCGCGCCCCGCGCCGUCGGCCCCGCCGUCCCAGACCCAGACGCGGCGCCCAGAGGCCGCCCAGGGCGGGGGCGGCGACCGGCAGCAGCUUAACCCCUGGCCCCGGCGCCGUCACCUCCGUCCCUAGGCUCUGUCGCGCCCAAGCCCCGGGUUCCUGCAGCCUAGGAAGACGCGCGGAGGACGGCGCGGUCUGGAGAGAGGGCGCCAAAGGCGACGCGCCGGCGGCCAGCUCCGCGCCAAGCCCAGUGCGUCUGCGGGAACCGGCCCCUUCAUGCGGCGCGGGACGCAGAGCCGAGCGAGGAUCUUCUUCAGCGCGGACUCAACGCCAGGGCGCCGCCUAGAGGUCGGCGGCGGCCUCAGUCUCAUUCGUCAGCGGACCGCAGAAGCUUCUUCCCCAGCCGGGGCCAGAAACGGAGAGGGCGAAUCCAGCUCAGGUCUCAGGAACACGGCUUCUGGCAUCUUUGACUUGCCUGAGACAAGCUCUUAAUGAACCCUAGGAAGGGACGCGGGCCUGGAAGGCUCAGAAAUAUUUAUUCUUGUGGCUCUCACGAAAUGGAAGGAGGGUCUCAAUUUCAGUCUCUUUGAGGACCUGUCUUGUACAUCUGUCUACACUGCCUCCUCUCACCACCCAAAUUGUCCAGCCCCUUCCAGUUAUGCUAGAACUCUGCUCUGUCUUCAAGGAGGGAAGGAAGUUGCCCCUAAAUCUUACAGCUUGAUCUGCUACAGUUUCAAUUUCCCGAAUAUUUCGAAAUAAUUUGAAGGACAUCCUUUUGGGAAAGUGUUCAGAAAACUUUUGAGAGGCAAAGGAACAUUGCCUUCAUGGCCUUUACGCACUGUGUGACCAUCAACUGGUGUCUGAGUGACAUUCAGGGACUUGCUUGUUGGCACCAGCGCCCCUAUUGGUAGGUGUCUGUGCUGAGCAUUUGAAAGUUGACUCUGGGGACAAGCAUCCACGGUUUCGGGUGCUGGAGGCCCCAGGCAGAGGGGUUUUGGUUUGUUUUUGUUUGUUUGUUUGUUUUGUUUUGUUUUUUGUUUUUGCCUGGAAUCCAUUGCCUGGGUUCUGAGAAUGGGGUAAGGGGCAGCCACAAAGCCCAUCUGAAAAGU